AGUUGAUUAGGGAAGCAGAGAACAGCAGCCUAAAUUUGACUGUAAUUUUGGCAGCUACAGAUUCCCAAGACAACUAGGAAGGGAAAAGGAACCCUUCAAGGGAGUUCCAGGAAAAACGUCUCUCCCAAAAAGACCACCGCUUCAGGAAAACCUGAGGAAGGGAGUGGGCCAACAGUAUCCUGCCAUUGUGACCAGCUGAAUGAGGAACUCCAUCAAAAUGAGCCACAGCAGGACCAAAACAGUGAGGAGACCUCCACCUUCUUCAGUGUCUCCCUGAGCAGUCAGUAAUUUCAGGGCAAGCUGAGAGGUCUCCAGAGGUCUAACCCCAGAUAAAUAGCCAACAGGGUCUAGAGUAUAUUUUACACCCCACAGGGUGUGCCCCUUGGUGAUCAAAAUAAAAUAAACCUGUUGUAAAAUGA